rnacentral:rRNA from 1 species
AACGAACGCUGGCGGCAUGCCUAACACAUGCAAGUCGAACGAGACCUUCGGGUCUAGUGGCGCACGGGUGCGUAACGAGUGGGAACCUGCCCUUAAGGUCGGAAUAACUCCCCGAAAGGGGUGAUAAUAACGGGUAAUGUCAUAGGACCAAAGAUUGAUCGCCUUUGGAUGGGCCCGCGUUGGAUUAGCUAGUUGGUAGGGUAAAAGCCUACCAAGGCGACGAUCCAUAGCUGGUCUGAGAGGAUGAUCAGCCACACUGGGACUGAGACACGGCCCAGACUCCUACGGGAGGCAGCAGUGGGGAAUAUUGGACAAUGGGCGAAAGCCUGAUCCAGCAAUGCCGCGUGAGUGAUGAAGGCCUUAGGGUUGUAAAGCUCUUUUACCCGGGAUGAUAAUGACAGUACCGGGAGAAUAAGCGCCGGCUAACUCCGUG